rnacentral:misc_RNA from 1 species
GAUGAAGAACGCAGCGAACUGCGAUAAGUAAUGUGAAUUGCAGAAUUCAGUGAAUCAUCGAGUCUUUGAACGCACAUUGCGCCCCCUGGUAUUCCGGGGGGCAUGCCUGUCCGAGCGUCAUUGCUGCCCUCAAGCACGGCUUGUGUGUUGGGCUCCGUCCCCCCGGGGACGGGCCCGAAAGGCAGCGGCGGCACCGAGUCCGGUCCUCGAGCGUAUGGGGCUUUGUCACCCGCUCUGUAGGCCCGGCCGGCGCCAGCCGACAACCCAUCAUCCUUUUCAGGUUGACCUCGGAUCAGGUAGGGAUACCCGCUGAACUUAAGCAUAUCAAUAAGCGGAGGA